UACUGAAACUACGAUUUCCUCCCAUGCCACAAAAAAUCAUCCCCGCGCUCUCACUGCUUCUCGAUGUUUGCUCGGUGCUUCUCACCCACCAGCACCACCCCCAACAAAACCAUUGUUUCUUCUCCACCACCCCCCAACUAAACCCUUGCUUUCUCGCUGCUUCCCUUUGUUGCUGAUGCUUUCCUUCAUUCUUGCUGCUCCCGCGUGCUACUCUUCUUCUCUAUCUUCUCUGCUCGGCCGGCCCACUCUUCAAUUGCUCUUCAAUUCGCAGUUAAACUCUCGCAAUUAUCUCCACUCCACCGGCGACGACCUCGACAAGAAGAACCACCAUUGGGCAAUUCUCUCCACUCGACCGGCAAUGACUUCAAUUGAGUUCAGUUUGGGGUUUUUCUUGGCCAUACAAUGAGAUCAACAUCAGAUAUUGCUCUGAGUCUGGUGGUGACUGCUUGGCCAAGUCAAGGAGAUUGGUGAAGGUAAAACUAUAAGCACGUAUAAGAGGGUCGUUGUUGCUGAUGGAAAAGAAUGUACGCAACCAGCUUACAAGAAUGCUCUGUCAGUGGAGAAUAUUACAAUGUCUGCUUCAAAGACCGGUCUUGAAAGUGGAUAAAGGCUCAGGGCAAUUCAAGUGUUGAAGAUAAAUAGAUUUUGCAGCGCGUAAAAGAAGAAAGAGAUUUAGCUGUUCGAAAAACAAAGCAACUCCAACAGGAACUGGAAAUGUGGAAGAGACGUAGACAGCGCAAAAGUAACUCUGGCUUCUCGUGCAAAUUUUCUAUUUUUGUGGCAAUGAUAGGAAUCAUGCUCGGCAUCCUGUUAAAACUAUCUGUGUCUUCUUCACCUACUACAGCAUAGUUGUCUUCAUCAGUUCAGGAAACAACUCUUCUUUGUAUCACGAGCUAGCUACGUUUUACCUGAGUCUUCCCUUUCCCAUCUUCUUCUCUAGGGGCAGUCCUUACUGUAUAUUUUUCAUCAAAAUUUGUUUUCAUUAUACUCUUUUUUACCCCCAUGAAUUGGAAAUAUAUUUAAUCUGCAAUUUCAUGUGUUAGACCGUUAAUUCACGAAAUUAGUUGUUAUAAUUUAUUUCUGAAACCGAUAAGACUUGAGCAGAAUUUUGAGAGUUGCUAGAUCUGCUGCUGCUGUUGACUGCUUUCUGCUGCUGUAGUUCAACAGGCUGACUGCAAUCUCCGGUCCUUAAUUUGCUGCUUAGGACAAGGAUACUGUGUUGAGGCGACUGAUUCCAGGAAGUCAGGGAGGGGACUCUGCAGUUACAAUUUGAUGUGUGGUUUUCUGCUGCUAGUGCUUUGUGGCAGUGUGAUUGGACUGGUUUUUUUGGCUUGAGUUUGUUCUGUCAGCAGCUGGUGGAUGGGUUGUGGUUCUGCAGCUGCUGUUUUAUAGUCAACUGACCUAAGUUCACUUCCUGGGGUUUGAUUUGGGGCAGUGUUGUAGCUGGUGGAUGAAAUUGCAGCUUAGGUUUAUUUUCUCUUAAGUUUCGUAUCUGUGAAAAUUCCUAACUUGCAUGGAACGAAGCAAUCAGUACACUUCGAAUCUUGGAAAAGACAAAUGGUCACGCCUUCUCCUCUCCACCCUUUUUGUUGACAGAGAACUACAUCUAUGGCAUAUUAGUUGUUUUUAGAAAUGCCAAUAUGAUCAUGUCCUUUAUAUUUCAACAUAUCUGGCAGGUCAAAGCUAUUGCAGAAGAAAUGGGGAUUGGAUUGCUACGUGUGAGAGCAAUCAAAGGGAACACCAACAUAGCACGAGCUGAGAUGGGGUCGAGUUCUCGGGACAGUGACAAGAUCCUUCACUAGGUGCAAUUGGCUAUGCAGAUAGGCUGGCAUUCGCACUAGAUAAAUGCUGAAAGGGAUUUGAGAAUACCGAUUCUAGCCUUUCAGUUUUAGCAGGGGAAUUGAAGAAGUUAAGGUUUUGGUAGCUGUACAGAUUCGUCUACUGUUACAUUUUCGUAUUGCUAUAGAAAAUUUCAUAGUGUUGUUGGCCAAAUGGUCUCUGAUAUUCUUGAUUCUAUUUGUUAUAUAUAGCUAAGACGACUUCCCUUUAAAAACCAAAAUCAAAGGCUUACAACUCUUUAUGCUUGAGCAUUCUGUUUCAGGUGAUGCUAAUCUGUGGGACGACAGUGAUGGGAUAUAUGCAGAUGGUCAACUAUGGCUUGAAGAUCACCAUAUAAUCGGAAGAGUGAUUGGGUUUUCAAAACUCCAAGGGAGGGGCCCUUUACCAAAAAGGAGUUGGAUGAAGUUCGAGACAAGUGGGCUACUUAAUUCAACGAUUGUGAACUACCCUCAGUGUAAUAAAUAGAGAAGGUUUGUAGUUAUUCGUGACUCUUACAUUAUUUUGUUAUUUAUCGAUUUAAUUAAUUACAUUUGAAUUAAUUCGGUAAUAUUAUUGGAAAUUUAAAAUUUAUA